UAUACACAGCAAAUAAAAAUUUAUAAAACAUAUUUUUUUGUUGUCAUAUUCCUGCUUUGUCCCUUGUCUGUGUCCGUGUUUCAUGGCAUUUUGGAAACGAAAUACAAUAAAUUGAGGAAAAUAGACUUGAUGAGCUCCACUCUUUCAGAAACAUGGGAAUGCCUGCUUGGGUAUAUUGAAUGGCAGUGAAGUAGGGCUCGGAAACAACAACAUACUUGGCGAUAUUUCUCUACAAGAUAAAAUGGUGAUUUAUGACAACGAAAAACAACAAAUUGGAUGGGUUGCUGAAAACUGCGACAGGCUUCUCAA